rnacentral:rRNA from 1 species
AUUGAACGCUGGCGGCAUGCCUUACACAUGCAAGUCGAACGGUAACAGGUCUUCGGAUGCUGACGAGUGGCGAACGGGUGAGUAAUACAUCGGAACGUGCCCGAGAGUGGGGGAUAACGAGGCGAAAGCUUUGCUAAUACCGCAUACGAUCUCAGGAUGAAAGCAGGGGACCGCAAGGCCUUGCGCUCACGGAGCGGCCGAUGGCAGAUUAGGUAGUUGGUGGGAUAAAAGCUUACCAAGCCGACGAUCUGUAGCUGGUCUGAGAGGACGACCAGCCACACUGGGACUGAGACACGGCCCAGACCCCUACGGGAGGCAGCAGUGGGGAAUUUUGGACAAUGGGCGCAAGCCUGAUCCAGCCAUGCCGCGUGCAGGAUGAAGGCCUUCGGGUUGUAAACUGCUUUUGUACGGAACGAAAAGGCUCUGGUUAAUACCUGGGGUCCAUGACGGUACCGUAAGAAUAAGCACCGGCUAACUACGUGCCAGCAGCCGCCGUAAUAC